GGUUGAUCCUGCCAGUAGUCAUAUGCUUGUCUCAAAGAUUAAGCCAUGCAUGUCUCAGUGUAAACUUUUAAACAGUGAAACUGCGAAUGGCUCAUUAAAACAGUUAUAGUUUAUUUGAUAAUCAUUUUACAUGGAUAACCGUGGGAAUUCUAGGGCUAAUACAUGCGUAAACCCGCAAGGGAUGUGUUUAUUAGAUUAACACCAUCACUGUGCUUGCACAGUUAUUUUGGAGUGAUAAUAACCGAUCGAAUCGCACGCUUUAUGUGGCGAUAAAUCAUUCAAGUUUCUGAC
rnacentral:rRNA from 1 species